rnacentral:rRNA from 1 species
UAUUGGUCAAUGGGCGCGAGCCUGAACCAGCCAAGUCGCGUGAGGGAUGACGGCCCUACGGGUUGUAAACCUCUUUUGUCGGGGAGCAAAUUCCGUUACGUGUAACGGAGUCGAGAGUACCCGACGAAAAAGCAUCGGCUAACUCCGUGCCAGCAGCCGCGGUAAUACGGAGGAUGCGAGCGUUAUCCGGAUUUAUUGGGUUUAAAGGGUGCGUAGGCGGCCUGCCAAGUAAGCGGUAAAAUUGCGGGGCUCAACCCCGUACAGCCGUUGAAACUGCCGGGCUCGAGUGGGCGAGAAGUAUGCGGAAUGCGUGGUGUAGCGGUGAAAUGCAUAGAUAUCACGCAGGACCCCGAUUGCGAAGGCAGCAUACCGGCGCCCUACUGACGCUGAGGCACGAAAGUGCGGGGAUCA